GGAAAGUGGCGCACGGGUGCGUAACGCGUAUGCAACCUACCUUAAUCAGGGGGAUAGCCCGAAGAAAUUCGGAUUAACACCGCAUAAAAUCACAGUAUAGCAUUAUACAAUGAUCAAAUAUUUAUAGGAUUAAGAUGGGCAUGCGUGACAUUAGUUAGUUGGCGGGGUAACGGCCCACCAAGACCACGAUGUCUAGGGGAUCUGAGAGGAUGACCCCCCACACUGGUACUGAGACACGGACCAGACUCCUACGGGAGGCAGCAGUAAGGAAUAUUGGUCAAUGGAGGCAACUCUGAACCAGCCAUGCCGCGUGCAGGAAGACAGCCCUCUGGGUCGUAAACUGCUUUUAUUCGGGAAUAAACCUAUCUACGUGUAGAUAGCUGAAUGUACCGAAGGAAUAAGGAUCGGCUAACUCCGUGCCAGCAGCCGCGGUAAUACGGAGGAUCCAAGCGUUAUCCGGAUUUAUUGGGUUUAAAGGGUGCGUAGGCGGCUUUUUAAGUCAGGGGUGAAAGACGGUGGCUCAACCAUCGCAGUGCCCUUGAUACUGAAGAGCUUGAAUGAACUAGAGGUAGGCGGAAUGUGACAAGUAGCGGUGAAAUGCAUAGAUAUGUCACAGAACACCGAUUGCGAAGGCAGCUUACUAUGGUUAAAUUGACGCUGAGGCACGAAAGCGUGGGGAUCAAACAGGAUUAGAUACCCUGGUAGUCCACGCCCUAAACGAUGAAUACUCGCUGUUAGCGAUACACAGUUAGCGGCUAAGCGAAAGCGUUAAGUAUUCCACCUGGGGAGUACGGUCGCAAGAUUGAAACUCAAAGGAAUUGACGGGGGCCCGCACAAGCGGAGGAGCAUGUGGUUUAAUUCGAUGAUACGCGAGGAACCUUACCCGGGCUUGAAAGUUAGUGAAUCAUUUAGAGAUAGAUGAGUCCGCAAGGACACGAAACUAGGUGCUGCAUGGCUGUCGUCAGCUCGUGCCGUGAGGUGUUGGGUUAAGUCCCGCAACGA
rnacentral:rRNA from 1 species